AUCCACCCAAACCCGUCCUACCAU
rnacentral:siRNA from 1 species